UGAGCGACUCCCGCUGGAGCACUUGCAAUGGCUGGCAUAGUAUCUAACCUCACUAGAGCACCUUUUGUUGCUGCCUCCCCUAACCACUUGUAGGGUUAUCUACACCUUCAAAAAGCCUCUACUACUCGAGAAGCCUCCAGCGAGACUAUCGACUGUUACUUGCCACCUCCAGUGAGGCUGCCUUCUUCUAUCUUUUGCUUGUUUAGAGCUUCUUAUUCUUGAACUUCCAUCUCUUUUUGAUGGAUCUGCCAGGUUGAAAGCCUAACCACAGGAUGACUCUAAGGCUAUUUCCGCACCCAAGGUGCACGAAUUGGAGCUAUGGGUUGUCGUGUUGGAGUUGAUAACUUCAAAUAAAGUAGCCGAUAGAGAAGGGCAAAUACAUUGUUCGUGAGGUGAGAAUGACAAUGGAUAGUGAAGAUUCAAGUCAGUCUUUUGGAGAGAAGACAUGCCUCUCAAACUCGUAUGGAAGACAACUCAAAAUGAUGUUAUAAUCUGAUACUCUUGGCAAGAAUCACAAAGAAUGUUCGCCCAUCAACCUAAAGCACUUGUCGUUGCCGCCAGUGGAUGGAACUUGAGGAGCACCCGGAGUAAUGGCGGAGGUCGAAGAUCACCUGGCUUUGUAAGGAGUUGCUUUCGCAUAAGCCGACGACGAUGGUGAGGAUCCUUGGCGCUCAAAGGAAGUGGAUUCGGCAGGAGGAGGUGGGUUAUGUUGUUCUCCAUUGCAAGUCAGGUAUGUUUUUAUGAACUGGUUGAGAAGAGUUAGAACAUGAUGUAUUCAUUGAAGAUCUACCACCAAUCUUAUGCAUGAAGAAUCGCGGUUCCUUUCGAAGGAAACCCAUGGAGAUGUUUAUUAUGUUGCAACACAAGAUCCUUGACAAGCUUGAUGAUGCAGCUAAAGUAAUUAGGGGAAACAACACUGAAGAAAGUGAUAUGAUAUUUGGAACAUUAUCUGUAUUGAAGAUGUCUUCUUUUUUAAUAUUAUAUUAGUAUGUAUACUUAUAACAUAAGUAUGCAUGUGU